rnacentral:rRNA from 1 species
GAUGAACGCUGGCGGCGUGCCUAAUACAUGCAAGUCGAGCGAACGGACGAGAAGCUUGCUUUUCUGAUGUUAGCGGCGGACGGGUGAGUAACACGUGGAUAACCUACCUAUAAGACUGGGAUAACUUCGGGAAACAGGAGCUAAUACCGGAUAAUAUUUUGAACCGCAUGGUUCAACAGUGAAAGACGGUCUUGCUGUCACUUAUAGAUGGAUCCGCGCUGCAUUAGCUAGUUGGUAAGGUAACGGCUUACCAAGGCAACGAUGCAUAGCCGACCUGAGAGGGUGAUCGGCCACACUGGAACUGAGACACGGUCCAGACUCCUACGGGAGGCAGCAGUAGGGAAUCUUCCGCAAUGGGCGAAAGCCUGACGGAGCAACGCCGCGUGAGUGAUGAAGGUCUUCGGAUCGUAAAACUCUGUUAUUAGGGAAGAACAUAUGUGUAAGUAACUGUGCACAUCUUGACGGUACCUAAUCAGAAAGCCACGGCUAACUACGUG